GGAGAGGUGCUCGAGUGGUUGCAGAGGCACGCCUGGAAAGCGUGUAGCCGGCAAAACUGGCUCGCAGGUUCGAAUCCUGUUCUCUCCG
rnacentral:tRNA from 1 species